CCCUUAGAUGUCCUGGGCCGCACGCGCGCUACACUGAUGCAUUCAACGAGUUUUUCCUUGGCCGAGAGGCCUGGGCAAUCUUUUAAACGUGCAUCGUGAUAGGGAUAGAUUAUUGCAAUUAUUAAUCUUGAACGAGGAAUUCCUAGUAAACGCAGAUCAUCAAUCUGCAUUGAUUACGUCCCUGCCCUUUGUACACACCGCCCGUCGCACCUACCGAUUGAAUGGUCCGGUGAAGCCUCGGGAUUGUGGCGAGUUCCCUUUAUUGGGAGUUUGUCGCGAGAACUUGUCUAAACCUUAUCAUUUAGAGGAAGGUGAAGUCGUAACA
rnacentral:rRNA from 1 species